rnacentral:rRNA from 1 species
UACGUAGGGUGCAAGCGUUGUCCGGAAUUAUUGGGCGUAAAGAGCUCGUAGGCGGUCUGUCGCGUCGGCUGUGAAAACCCGCGGCUCAACCGCGGGCCUGCAGCCGAUACGGGCAGGCUAGAGUUCGGUAGGGGAGACUGGAAUUCCUGGUGUAGCGGUGAAAUGCGCAGAUAUCAGGAGGAACACCGAUGGCGAAGGCAGGUCUCUGGGCCGAUACUGACGCUGAGGAGCGAAAGCGUGGGGAGCGAACAGG